AUUGGGCAGAAAUAAAUUUGGCACUGUAACAUACUUUUUGAUUGGAUCAAUUUUCAAAUCCCGCUCUUAGGUGUUGAUUUCUUUUUUUCAACCGUUAGCGUCUGUACAGUUAUCAAGUUUGAAGUAAUUGUUAUUGCUCAUAAUGGCAGCUACAAAGGGACGUGGAAGACCUAAGAAGGCCGCAGCUGGUGAUAGUGCAGCCAAGGCAAAAGCUCCAAAGAAAUCUCCCAAAAAAGGAGCAAAGAAGGCAGUAAAAAGAGCAGGAGCAAAAAAGACUGCAAAGAAAGCAGGAAAGGGAAAGAAGAAAUAAAUGAUCUCGUCUCAUUGUAGUCACCAUCAUAUAGACAUGAAUGUUGUUUGGCGGAUCAUGUAGAUAGUGUUUUUGUGUAGAUAUUUAUAUUUUUACCUCACAGAAGAAACUUUAAAUAUACUUAAAAUUUUUAGAUGAAAUUGACAACCAACUUUUUUUAGAGACUUUGUUAGAGGAUCGGAUGUUCAUUACACAUAUUUUCUGUCUUUUUAUUCAUACUACAUUUUAAUACUCAUUUUGAGAUGAAUGUUAAGUCUUGUAUUGGAAAUAUGUAAAAUAAAUGUACACAAAUGUACUUACUAUUUAA